UACGUAGGGUGCAAGCGUUAAUCGGAAUUACUGGGCGUAAAGCGUGCGCAGGUGGCGCGUAAGACAGGUGUGAAAGCCCCGAGCUUAACUUGGGAAUUGCGCUUGUGACUGGCGUGCUGGAGUGUGGCAGAGGGAGGUGGAAUUCCACGUGUAGCAGUGAAAUGCGUAGAGAUGUGGAGGAACACCGAUGGCGAAGGCAGCCUCCUGGGCCAGCACUGACGCUCAUGCACGAAAGCGUGGGGAGCAAACAGG
rnacentral:rRNA from 1 species